rnacentral:rRNA from 1 species
UACGUAGGGUGCAAGCGUUAUCCGGAAUUAUUGGGCGUAAAGAGCUCGUAGGCGGUUUGUCGCGUCUGCUGUGAAAACCCGAGGCUCAACCUCGGGCCUGCAGUGGGUACGGGCAGACUAGAGUGCGGUAGGGGAGAUUGGAAUUCCUGGUGUAGCGGUGGAAUGCGCAGAUAUCAGGAGGAACACCGAUGGCGAAGGCAGAUCUCUGGGCCGUAACUGACGCUGAGAGGCGAAAAGCUGGGGAGCGAACAGG